GUGGCUAUAGUAUAGUGGUUAGUAUACCUCAUUGUGGUUACACACACUCAGAAAUCUGAGGAGACGCCUGUUCGAUUCUGGCUAGCCACA
rnacentral:tRNA from 1 species